rnacentral:lncRNA from 10 species
GCGGUGCUGGGGCGGGCGCAGGACUGCAGGCUGGGGCUCCGCUCCCCGGCGGGAGCCCGCGCGUGGUUCCCAGCGAAGUCCCCGCGCGGCUGGGCCCAGCGUGAGUAUUCUCCGCCCGCUGUCCUCCCCCUGGAGGCGGCAGCGCCCGUUUAUUUGAGCCGUGUGAAGAUGUGCCUGCUUCGCCUUCCAUCAUGACUGAAGUUUCCUGAGGCCUCCCCAGCUAUGCUCCCUAUACAGCCUGCAGAACGGGUCGGCUGCCUCCAAUCCUGAGGUCAUCACUCAUCAAGAGGGGAUAAUCCCAGGGACAGCAGGAUCUGCUUCGUUACUUGGAUUUAGGAGCCAGAAACCCAUCAGGCAACUAAACAGUAACAAUGACCCGCCAUUAAACACACUGAGAGAAGAGCAUGAUGAAGAGUUUGUACAAGAAGAAGCCAGGAGCACUUGCUGACAAUGCUUACAGAGACGCAGGCUUCUAUGAGCUCUGCCUGUUGAACUGCAGUAAAAAUAGAUCUCCUUCCCCAGAGAGGCUUGGAUGUGGGCACAAUAUCAGUUCAGACGAUGGUCAAUGCAUGUACUUAAUAGAGUGAAAAGACUUUGGACUGUGAAGUCAGAUUACCUGGGUCUGAAUUGUUAUUCUUCUACUUCUUUGUAGUAUGCUUUCACCACAUUAAAAAUUGUCUGAGCCUCAAUUUUUUUAUCUGCAAAAUGGAGCUAAUACCUACACAGGGGCUUUUAAGAGAAUCAAAUGCAACAAUGUUUGAAAAGCAACAUACUCCCCUUUAUGGAAAAAGAGCCUGUAAAGGAACCAAUACAAUGGCUGGGCGUGGUGAC